CGAAAGACCAAAAGCGAGACCAAGGUUGCGACUAGGAGGAGUGUCAGAUUAUCCAGGCGAUAAGUGAGUCGCCCCUAGGAGCAAAACAAAGCUAAGCUGAUGGCAACGCCUUGAAGAUAUUACAGCGCUGAAGAUGUGGACCAUGUUCAUUUAUGAUCUCUGGUUCUUUCUGUAAAAUAACAUCGAAACUGAAAUCAUUAAAAGAACUA